rnacentral:rRNA from 1 species
UAGGGAAUCUUCGGCAAUGGACGGAAGUCUGACCGAGCAACGCCGCGUGAGUGAAGAAGGUUUUCGGAUCGUAAAGCUCUGUUGUAAGAGAAGAACGAGUGUGAGAGUGGAAAGUUCACACUGUGACGGUAUCUUACCAGAAAGGGACGGCUAACUACGUGCCAGCAGCCGCGGUAAUACGUAGGUCCCGAGCGUUGUCCGGAUUUAUUGGGCGUAAAGCGAGCGCAGGCGGUUAGAUAAGUCUGAAGUUAAAGGCUGUGGCUUAACCAUAGUAGGCUUUGGAAACUGUUUAACUUGAGUGCAAGAGGGGAGAGUGGAAUUCCAUGUGUAGCGGUGAAAUGCGUAGAUAUAUGGAGGAACACCGGUGGCGAAAGCGGCUCUCUGGCUUGUAACUGACGCUGAGGCUCGAAAGCGUGGGGAGCAAACAGGAUUAGAUACCCCGGUAGUCCACGCUGUAAACGAUGAGUGCUAGGUGUUAGACCCUUUCCGGGGUUUAGUGCCGUAGCUAACGCAUUAAGCACUCCGCCUGGGGAGUACGACCGCAAGGUUG